ACAUUUAUUUCUUUCCAUGGAUAAUAAGUUAGGUUAUACAAUCAGGUUAUCUCCAUCCCAAGAUCAUUCUCUCAGGUCGUGGACGAUUCUGUAGUUGAAAUGUGCUCAUUGGAGGAGUCCAAGACAAGCAACUUGAGUUUCUUUUACUAGACGAAGCUUUAGUCGUUUCCAUCAGGGUUUUAUUUAUUUUUGGGUAUGUGAGGGAAAAGGUUUAAUGGUUUAAAAACCGAAAAAAUUAUAUGGUAUUAUUCUAUUUCGGUUUAAACACACAUAAUUUUAGAAUUUUUUUUCAGAACCAAUGAACUGAGGCGUGGAGGAAUGUUUGUAUGAUCCAUGAGUUAGGCAGUGAUAAGUAAUCUUUAUUUUUUAAAUUGAUUAUUUUAAUUAUUAGAGUUUUUUAAAAUUUGAUCUAUUUAUAAAGAAAUGUUAUUUUUAAAAUGUAAAUAGAGAAAAUAAUAAAGGAAACAUUACAUUGGAGUUACAGAAAUUUCUAUAUCCAAUUUUUUAAAAAUAGAAUUAAGUAGAUUGGAAAUGAUUAAGCACUUAAAACCAACAAAUCAUUAAACGUGUUUACCCUUAUUGGGGCAUUCAACUCUUAAUCAUAUACUCUCUCCGUUCCACAAAGAUAGACUUUUUAGUAUUUUCACACAUAUUAAGAUAAUAAAUUAAACUAUUAUGUAUCGUUUUAUGUAAUUUUUAAUUUGCAAUAACUUUUAAUCAACGUUAAUUCAAUAAAGUCAAUUAAUUUUUUUUGAAAUUUAUAAUUUUUUAAUAUAAAACACAAAAAUACAUUUAUCUGAAACAAAAUUUUUUUUUAAAAAAGUCUAUCAUUAAGGAACGAAUUGAGUAAUUGUUAAACCUAAAAGGCUAAAAAUCAUAUAAUUGCUUUAACUUAAAAAAAUAAAUCGUCUCACCACAUUCUCCACCUUCUCUUCUCUCUAAGCUCCAACGCCUUAACUCUCUCUCUCAUACUCAUAUCAAUGUUCAUCCGCUUUCCUACUUUUUAUAUGAAAGCUUCCUCCCCAUUACCAUUCUAGUAAGUUACCCAUAUAUUUCCAAACUAUUUUAACAAAACUGAUAUAUAUAUAUAUAUAUAUAUAUAUAUUAGAAGUAUGGAAUUUAUACAGAGGUAAGAACAAGUUCAAAUGUACUAGUAGUAUCAUAUGAACAAAAGAACACCCAAGUCUGCUAAAAAAAAUAUUGGAAUGAUGUCUUAAAUACGAAACAAGACAUAAUAAGCUAAAAAGGAGAAAAAGUUCUAUAUCAUAACAAACAUAAUACAGAUCUCUAGUUAACCUUUCUAUAUAUGUUAUCUGCUUUCAUUGUGUGCGGGUCAUGGGCGGAUCCAGAAACAUGUUUUGUUGGGGGCACAAUAUGAAAAAAUAACAAAAACUAUGCUGACCUGGGGGCACAUUUUUUUUUCAUUCACUAAAUCUAAGAACAUUUAAUCAAAUUGUAUUAAAGUACAUAAGAAAAAUCAAAAAACAGUAGGGGGCACAUGCCCCCGUACCGCAAAGCCUACAUCCGCCCCUGAGCGGGUGCUGAAUUAUUAAGCAGUCUUGUGCUGACCUCAAUGUGGAACCUUUGUGAUCAUCAAGAAUAUCCAAAUACAUUUCUACAAAGAAUAAACUUCAAACUUGUUGAGUAGUAGAUGCAUAUAUAUCUGUGUAAAAAACUUUUAGUUGAUGAUGAUGUCGGUGUUCUUUACGCCCAGAUUGUAGUUUUAAGUGGACGCAAGGGGUUUUUUUGUGCGGAAAUGUAUGCAUAUAUAAUGUGAAAAUCAAGCCUUGGUGCUUGAGAAAUUUGGGAGAAGGUCAAGGGAGUGAAUGAAAUGAAGGUCAUGUACAAGCGGAUUCCCGGUUCUUUUAGGUGAAGACCCUGCGUACCACAUUGUCUCUGUUGUUCCACCUUCCAUCGGCUGCACCUACCACAAUAUAGUUAUUAACACUCAAGAGACAAAAACCAUGCAUGCAUGCGAAUACGCUUCCCGUUAGGGCAUCUCCAAUCCAUACUUAUUUUUUCCUCUAUAAUUCUCACAAAAAUAGAAUAACUCUAUUAUAGAAUAAACCAUUGGAGCAAAACUUAUUCAAUAAUAGAGUUAUUCUAUUUUUGUGAGAAUUAUAAAGGAAAAAAUAGAUAUGAGUUGGAGAUGGUCUUAGAGCAUAAAUAUCUCUGGUUUCUAAAUGAGGUUUUUGAACUGUUUGUGGAUUCCAUUGACACGCCGGCAUCUCUGAAUGAUGUUGCAUAUUUCCUCUCUCUUUUCUUUUUCUUUUUAAAAAUCCGAUUUAGAGAACACAACUAGUAAUUAUUUUAAAUGGAUCCUUUUUGUUAAACUGGAGUAUGAAACGCAAUUUAACUAGUAUGAAACUAUAUGUACGCAAGACAGAAAAAAAAAAGAAGCAAUGAAUUUGUAGUGAUGAGUGAAACCAAAUUUGGUUAUUCUCUCAGACAAAAACACCACGUAAAACGUGAGAGUGUACAUGUGUAAUCUUUUCUGUGAUUCCUGUUGUCUUGGUAAAGAGUGAAAGUAAGGUUGGGUUUUAUUGACUACUCCCCUUGUUUUUUUUUUUUGCUUCUUAUUUCACUUCUAGCAUUCAUGUAGUUUACCUAUUAGAUAUAAGGCCCAUCACACGCCUCUGUAAGGCCAAGUGAAGGGAAACGGGAAAAAGAAGUGCAGGUGGAGAUGGAGAUGGAGGUGGAAGUUGAUAGUCACACGUAUGUCCUUAUUGAGACAGCUAACGUUAAAUGAUGAUUGAUGUCACUACAUCACGUGACUCCUCUUUCAAACUAUUGCUUCUCUCUAUCUUUUUUUUUUUUUCUAAUAAACAAACUAUCAAAUCUUCUUCGACCAACAUAACACAACAACACACUUCUCUUUUCUUCCUUGUCAAUAAAUUUUUACUUGUUGAAACUUCUCUUGUGUAAUAAACCCUCAAAUUUGAGUUCGUGUUUUGUACUUGGCAAGGACCGCCUCUCAAAAAGGAUAUAGAGUACUUUAGUGUCCAUAAAUAGAAAGUAUUAGAAAGAUAGAGGACCGGUUUAGCAAAGUCAAAAAGGACAGAAAAGUCAAGAAAGAAGGGGUUAAAUUUAGAAAGUCUGAUCCGGUAGUAAACUUAACUGGGAUGGGAUUGUCUGGUUAGAAAGCAGUGGAGCGAGCCCUUCUCUCUUUCCUCUAGGGAGAGUCAGAGAGGCUCGUCACCUCCAAGUCCUCCUUCAUCUCUCUCUCUAUCUUCCCUUCGAUCCUUUCAGAUCUUCAUCGUUUGUAAAGCUUCAGACUUUUGACUUCCAUCAUUAAGAUUGCUCUUGACCCCAAGAUUUUUGAGUUAACAUCUGCUUAAUUCUGCACAAUCUCAGUCUUGUUUUGCUUGAUCCUGUAUCCCUUUUUGACGGAUGUGGAUUAAGAGAAAGAGGGUUUCCCUGAUGUCAUGAGGGGAGGAUGUUAACAACGUUAAUGAAACUUCUGAGUGGGCAAGUCAACAAUCUUCUCGAGGAUCAGAGCCAAGUUGAGUCUGGCCCUCUGGUCCUUACGGAACUUUUAUUGGCAUCUAUGACGGUCACGGCGGCCCUGAGACCUCACGCUUUGUCAACGAUCAUCUCUUUCAGCAUCUAAAGAGAUUUGCAGCAGAGGAAGCCUCUGUGUCGAUGGAUGUAAUCAGAAAAGCACACGAAGCGACAGAAGAAGGGUUUCUCGGGGGAUUGAGGAACCAAGAAGCUGUUGGCAUUGUUCAGAACCACCCACGAAACGUGCGGUUACACUCAAUUGUUUUCAAAGUUUCAGUUAAGCAAAACCAGAUACUGAUUGUGUCCUUUGUGCAUGGAAUUGCACGUAGACUUGUGAAGAUGGUGCUGCGAGCAGCGGCAAAGAAGAGAGAGAUGAGAUACUCUGAUCUGAAGAAGAUAGAGAGGGCGUGAGGAGGCAUUUUCACGAUGAUAUCACUGUGGUUAUCACUGCGGUAUGACUUUCCCCAAGAAACUCUAAAAGCUACUAUAUCCCACUUUUUUUUAGAUUCCAUCUUUUGUAGUUAUUUAAAAAGAUCACAAUCUUUGUUGGUCUAAGAAUUUGUAUAAUUUUUAACGUGGAAGCCACACAAUACUUACGUUUGCAACCCAUUCCAGUAAUUAUUUAUUUUUUAUUUGUUCAACGAGACUCUGUGUAAUCUUUGUAAUUGUUGUUGAUGAAUGAAUGUAAUAGCCUUUCUUUUGUUUUA